rnacentral:pre_miRNA from 1 species
UGUGUGACACAGGGACAGGGUGUGUGUGUCGUAGAUACAGGAUUCCCUGUAUCUACGACACACACACCCUGUCCCUGUGUCACACA